GCUGCGUGGUGUGCCAGGCACCCGAGACGCCCGAGUCCUACGUGUGCCGGACGCUGGACUGCGAGGCCGUGUACUGCUGGUCGUGCUGGGACGACAUGCGGCAGCGGUGCCCGGUCUGCACGCCCCGCGAGGAGCUCUCUUCCUCCGCCUUUAGUGACAGCAACGACGACACUGCCUACGCGGGGUAAAGAGGCGUCCUGCUCGCUCUUCCGCUCCGUCCUUCCCGCCCUGCUGUCGAUUCCCUCAGUACUGUCUUGGGGUGUCCUGGGACCUGCAGGUGGCACCGAGGAGCAGCAGGCAGAGUCAGAGAAGGCCCCGAGGGAGCCCUUGGAGCCCCAGGUCCUUCAGGACCUCAAAAAGGUGCUUCAGACCAGUCUGCCUGAGCCCCUGAGGAUCAAGUUGGAGCUGGACGGUGACAGUCAUAUCCUGGAGCUGCUACAGAAUAGAGAGUUGGUCCCAGGCCGUCCAACCCUGGUGUGGUACCAGCCCGAUGGCACUCGGGUGGUCAGUGAGGGACACACUCUGGUGA
rnacentral:sRNA from 1 species